UAGCAAGGAAUAUUAAGUUUUCAUGUCUGAAAUAUGUCACUGUGGGAGCUCAUUUAUUUAAAAAAUUAAUCAGAGCAAUUUUUUAAAUUAGCCAAGCACUGUCAGCACAGUUAGUUCAAAUCCCAGAUGGUUUGAUAUCAGGCUGCAGUUCUCAAUUGCUAUUUUGACUUAUGUUCUGUGCCAUGGAUUUAUCAAAUCCUUUAUUCUGAAUCAAGAAGAAUGGCUAAUCCUGGUCAUUUACUGCCAUUAACGUGAAAGAGAGCUACUGGUCAUGUAAAGAGUUGCCUACAGCCAGAAAGUGUAGUGGUACACUCGGAUGAAGUGGUACACUUGGACUGCACCAUUGAUCAAGUACGGAAAUUCCAAACCAUUGGUCCAGGUUUAAUCUUGCUGCCCUUAAGACCCAGCUGUGCAGCCAUUAUCUUUUUGGCUUUGAAGG